rnacentral:rRNA from 1 species
UGACGCUGGCGGCAGGCUUACACAUGCGAUUCAAAGCGGGGGAAGGUAGCUUGCCACUGGAGUCUAGCGGCGGACGGGUGAGUAAUGCUUAGGAAUCUGCCUAUUACUGGGGGACAACAUCUCGAAAGGGAUGCUAAUACCGCAUACGUCCUACGGGAGAAAGCAGGGGAUCUUCGGACCUUGCGCUAAUAGAUGAGCCUAAGUCGCGAUUAGCUAGUUGGUGGGGUAAAGGCCUACCAAGGCGACGAUCUGUAGCGGGUCUGAGAGGAUGAUCCGCACACUGGGACUGAGACACGGCCCAGACUCCUAACGAGGAGGCAGCAGUGGGGAAUAUUGGACAAUGGGCGCAAGCCUGAUCCAGCCACUGCCAGCAGAUGUGUGAAGAAGGCCUUAUGAGUUGUAAAGCACAUUUAAGCGAGGAGAGAGGCAUACUUUAGAAUAAUACCUAGAGAUAAGUGGACGUUAACUCGCAGAAUAAGCACCGGCUAACUCUGUGCCAAGCAGACCGCGAGUAACAUACAAGCAGGGUGCACGCGUUAAAAUCGGGAUAUUACCUCGGGGCGGUAACAGGACAGACGCGUCAGAGCACGCUAAAUCUCAAAGUCCACAGUGUGAAAAUCCCCGAGGCUUUAACUUUGGGGGAAUUCGCGACAUUCAGAAUUACCUGGCUCAAGCUCAAGACGUGUGGGAGCAGGACUGGUCAGAAUUUCCCAGGUCGUCAAACAGGCGAAAAUGCGUAAAACGAUCCUGGAAGGAAUCAAC